rnacentral:rRNA from 1 species
GACGUAGGGCGCGAGCGUUGUCCGGAUUUAUUGGGCGGAAAGAGCUCGUAGGCGGCUUGUCGCGUCGAAUGUGAAAACUCGGGGCUCAACCCCGCGCUUGCAUUCGAUACGGGCAGGCUCGAGUUCGGUAGGGGAGACUGGAAUUCCUGGUGUAGCGGUGAAAUGCGCAGAUAUCAGGAGGAACACCGGUGGCGAAGGCGGGUCUCUGGGCCGAUACUGACGCUGAGGAGCGAAAGCGUGGGGAGCGAACAGG